UACGUAGGGUGCAAGCGUUAAUCGGAAUUACUGGGCGUAAAGCGUGCGCAGGCGGCUAUGCAAGACAGAUGUGAAAUCCCCGGGCUCAACCUGGGAACUGCAUUUGUGACUGCAUGGCUAGAGUGCGGCAGAGGGGGAUGGAAUUCCGCGUGUAGCGUGAAAUGCGUAGAUAUGCGGAGGAACACCGAUGGCGAAGGCAAUCCCCUGGGCCUGCACUGACGCUCAUGCACGAAAGCGUGGGGAGCAAACAGG
rnacentral:rRNA from 1 species